ACCCGCUGAACUUAAGCAUAUCAAUAAGGGGAGGACAAGAAACCAACAGGGAUUGCCUCAGUAACGGCGAGUGAAGCGGCAAAAGCUCAAAUUUGAAAUCUAGUACCUUUGGUGCUUGAGUUGUAAUUUGCAGAGGAAUCUUCGGGUAACAGCUUGGUCUAUGUUCCUUGGAACAGGACGUCAUGGAGGGUGAGAAUCCCGUAAAUGGCCUCGUGUUGUGCCCAUGUGAAGUUCCUUCGAAGAGUCGAGUUGUUUGGGAAUGCAGCUCUAAGCGGGUGGUAAAUUCCAUCUAAAGCUAAAUACUGGCGAGAGACCGAUAGCGCACAAGUAGAGUGAUCGAAAGGUGAAAAGCACUCCGGAAGGAGAGCUAAACAGCACGUGAAAUUGUUGAAAGGGAAGCGCUUGAGACCAGACUCAUGUUAUUUCAAUCAGCCUUCAUUCUUGAUGGUGUACUUGGAGUGAUAUGGGCCAGCAUCAGUUCUGGUGGUGGGAUAAAGGCUUUUGGAAUGUGGCUUUCUUCGGGAAGUGUUAUAGCCAAAGGUUUCAUACCAUCAACCGGGACUGAGGACCGCGCUUCGGCUAGGAUGCUGGCAUAAUGGUCUU
rnacentral:rRNA from 1 species